rnacentral:misc_RNA from 1 species
UCCAGCAGCGUUUCUUUGUUAACAGUGCGCGUGCACUUUUGCUUGUGUGUGUGUGUGUGUGUGUGUUUGUGUGUGCGUGUCUGCCGUGCCGUCCUGGCGCCAACUACACGAGAAUACACACACAAAAAAAAACGCUCCACACGAUAGACGCGACAUACGCAUAGAGAGGGGCCUUUUUUCCCGUUCAUACUCACCCACCCUCCACGCCCACGCACACACGCGCACAGAAUCAGCUGAGCGCGUUUGUUUGUGUUGUUGCCGCGAAGUCUCUCUCUGUGCCGCGGUGGUUGUAUCGUCUUUUCCUCUCGGGCUUGUGUGUGUGUGUGUGUGUGUGUCAUAGCCAUGAUGGAGUACGCUGAUGCGUAUGUUAGUGGGGGUGGCCGCCUCCGACAUGGCGCGCAGGGAUCAACCACGGCAACCGGUGCUAGCCGGCCAUACCUUGAGCAGCGCACCGUUGCACCGGUGACUAGCGCGCUUGGUCAAGAGCUGGAUCGCCUUGUUGGUGGCACGCUCGCAGCGCAGGAGUACCGUGACCGACUGGAAGCGCUCACACGCAGUGUGCAGGCGAGCGACGAUAAGGUGCUGAACCUGACGCGCCUGGUGAAGCUGUCGCAGAGCAUUCAAGAGGAGAAGGAAGCGGACUUGCGGCGCCAGAACGACGAGCUGCGCGCGCGGCUCAAGCGACAGGAGCAGCUGACGGCCCAGCUGCAGCGGCAGCUGGAGGGUAUGCAGGGUGCUGUGGAUGCACAAGCGUUGCACCGUGUCGUGGAGCGCCUUGAGGGACAAAUGAGUGCGUGCAGAGGAAAGCAGGAGGAGCAAUGGGUGGCGGUGCAGCAACGCAUCGGAGAGCUGGAAGAGCGCUUGCAGCGGGCUAGCACCUGCACGGCGGAGCGCUGCGAGGAGCGGUUGAUGCAGCUGGACGAACGCCUGCAGAAAGUCACGCAGUCCACUGCGGACGCUACGAAUCAGUGGGCGAAGCGCAACUUUGUCCGCUUCAAGGAGCAGGUCGACUCGCUUCGUGCCGAUCUGGACGACGUUCGCGGCGGGCAGAAGGAGCUGAAAUCGACUGUGCAGAGCGCCAGCUGCCGUGCCGAAGUCGAGUACAAGAAGGUGCUCCUCCUCCUCCAACAAAAGACGAAGGAGGCCGAUGCGCUGACGUCGCUGGUGGAGAAGGAGCUGCAGCACUUGCAGAAGGUGGCGCACCGACACCAGAUUCUAGCAUCCAAGGAAAUCACGCCAGCCUUCGAGUUUGACGAGAAGCCGUAUGAUGCGCUCAAGUUCGCGGCGGGUGAAGGGAAACGUCGUGGUGCGGAGGCUGCAGCAGAGCGCAGGCGGAGGUGACGCCAGCGGUUGCGUGCUGCGAUCUGUAGAUUGGUUUUGAUUGCUUUGCACGCCUAGAUACGAGAGAGGGGGAGUUCUCUUCCAAAGAAAAAAAAGCACAGUCGGCUUCAUCAUUGCCGCUUGGCGCACGUGCAUGCAAGCCAUCAGCGCGGUGCCGCCUAGACCAGUGUCGCGCGUAGCACUGCACUCACGCACGUGGGUGCGGAACGACAUGACGCAGGUGCGCCAUGCAACCACGCAAAACUUCUGCUACUGCGCCCUCUUUUUUCACUCCCCACGCGGCAUUCCCGGCAGCCUUCCCGCCCGGCACCGCGGCCAAAAAAGAUUCGUGAGGGAGCAAGGGCCGACGGCGGCGACGGUUAAGACGACCCCGCGUCGAAACGCGACCGGCCAGCCGCCGCCGUGGACGUGGGGGCUGGGGAGGGGGGCCGGCGCGACCCCCACCACCAUCCCCCGUCCAACCCGGGCGCCGCCUUGGCCAUGAGUGGAGAAUUCUUGUAUUCAGAAGAAACCGUCCUCCUUAGCGGCCCACGCCCUCUCAAAAAACAAGGCGGGACUUCCUCGACCACGGGGUAGCCGCAAGAUGUUCUAAGAUUCCAACUGCCACACCCACGAAUUCCGACAGAACCAUUUUUCCCUCCACCUGACUUCUGAUCUGGACCUUUCCCAACUCGUGGUCAUCAUACCCAAG